GCAUACCUGCUAACUUUUGAAAAUGGCCAUGGGGGUUUUUGUGCGCGGCACCAUUUUUGAGGGUAGAAUUUUUCGCGGCAUUUUUUCGUGUGAUGAUUUGGCUCCUAAAAGUGUCUGACAUACUUCUUUUUUGGGGGGUGAUAGUUGAAGAUGCUAUUAUAACCUAUUUUUUUUUUAAAUUGUUUGAUUGUUGUAUUCUUUUUUGUUGAGAUAAACACCAGUAAGAUGACUUUAUGUUUGUCUGAUACAUUGUCAAGAAAUAAAAAAAAAGUAAUAAUUUUAAUAAUUUAAUAACAAAAAAACC
rnacentral:lncRNA from 1 species